CUCAUGGCGUGAAGAGCUCCAUGGAUUCUCCUCCCAUCGACAGAUCCAAAUUGAUGGGACAUAACAAUGCACCUGUGUCUGUGAGAGUCUAUGUGAACCAACAUGCAAUUUGCAAUGCAAACCACAGAGUUUACAUAACAUCAGGAAGCUUUCAGUACCAUUACAGGCCGUCUUUAGCACUUCACCCACAAACAGUGUUUCCACAGCAUGUUCUGCACACCUUCUGCAUCUCAUAUCUACAAUAAUAGACAC